rnacentral:lncRNA from 1 species
GGAUAAUGUAGUCUGGCAUGGAAUGGAGGUGGAGGGGAGUGAAAGGCUCCCCAGAGCGCGAGGGGAGUGGAUGGUCAGGCAGGAUCCCUGAGGCUGACUCGACACCCUGCUUUUCUGAAGGGAUAUGGAAAUAUCCCCAGGACAGCUGUACACUGCUGGCUGAGGAGCCCACAAGGUUAAUGAACACCCACAAAGACUGAGGAGGAGAGCGAGUGUUCUUCACCGGAUGAUUAGCAUGCGGGCAUUCUUUCCUUUGUGGUAAUGAUGGUCAAGAAGGUGCCUGGCGAUAGAGGGGAGAAAGGAGGGUUUCUGCUUCUUCUGCCUCCAACGCUUAUUAAAAUUCAUUUCCAUUCAAAUAGCCAUCGUCUGAUUUUCAUCAUCAAAUAAGCACACACUGUACAUAUUUAACAGGCAGGAGACCUGUGCUGAG